rnacentral:sRNA from 1 species
ACGUGCUGUACAGCGGCUGGCUGAGGAAGUCGCCCCCCGAGAAGAAGCUGAGGCUCUUUGCCUGGAGGAAACGCUGGUUUAUCCUGCAGAGGGGCCAGACUAGCAGUGACCCAGAUGUUCUGGAAUACUACAAGAAUGAUGGCUCCAAGAAGCCCCUGCGCACCAUCAACCUGAACCUCUGUGAGCAGCUGGAUGUUGGUGUGACUCUGAACUUCAACAAGAAGGAGAUUCAGAAGGGCUAUAUGUUUGACAUCAAGACCAGUGAGCGUACCUUUUACCUGGUGGCUGAGACCAGGGAGGACAUGAACGAGUGGGUCCAGAGCAUCUGUCAGAUCUGUGGCUUCAGGCAGGUUGAGGAAAGCACAGCUUCCUCCGGCAAGUACACCCAGCAUGGUGGAGGGAAUGCCAGCCGGCCUGCUGAGUCCAUGCAUGAGGGAGUCUGUUCUUUCCUGGGCCUGAGAUGCUGACCUGCCAGUGCCGAGUCAGGACUUGAGGUGGAUGGUGGGUCUCGAGGCCACAUCUGCAUGGUGCAUGGUCUGUGCUGCCUUCUGCCUGGGUCUGGUAUCCAGAAACCUGAGUGGACAUUGGGUG